UGGCUCAGAGCGAACGCUGGCGGCAGGCUUAACACAUGCAAGUCGAGCGGGCCCUUCGGGGUCAGCGGCGGACGGGUGAGUAACGCGUGGGAACGUGCCUUCUGGUCUGGAAUAACCCUGGGAAACUAGGGCUAAUACCGGAUACGCCCUUUUGGGGAAAGGUUUACUGCCGGAAGAUCGGCCCGCGUCUGAUUAGCUAGUUGGUGGGGUAACGGCCUACCAAGGCGACGAUCAGUAGCUGGUCUGAGAGGAUGAUCAGCCACACUGGGACUGAGACACGGCCCAGACUCCUACGGGAGGCAGCAGUGGGGAAUAUUGGACAAUGGGCGCAAGCCUGAUCCAGCCAUGCCGCGUGAGUGAUGAAGGCCUUAGGGUUGUAAAGCUCUUUUAUCCGGGACGAUAAUGAC
rnacentral:rRNA from 1 species